rnacentral:lncRNA from 1 species
CUGUAAUCCCAGCACUUUGGGAGGCCGAGGCAGGCAGAUCACGAGGUCAGGAGAUCGAGACCAUCCUCGAUAACACGGUGAAACCCUGUCUUUACUAAAAAUGCAAAAAAAUUAGCUGGGCAUGAUAGUGGGUGCCUGUAGUCCCAGCUACUCGGGAGGCUGAGGCAGGAGAAUGGCAUGAACCCUGGAGGGAGAGCUUGCAGUGAGCUGAGAUCACGCCACUGCACUCCAGCCUGGGCAACAGAGUGAGACUCUGUCUCAAAAAAAAAAAAAAAAAAAAAAAAGAAACAGAGUCUCACUCUGUUGCCCAGGCUGGUCUCCAACUCCUGGCUUCAGGUGAUCCUCUUGUCUCAGCCUCCCAAAGUAUUGAGAUUACAGAUGUGAGCCACUGCACCUGGCCUAUAGCAGUUAUUUAUAACCUUGUAUUAUAUAUGUAAAAAUAUUUGUUCCUACUUUGUCAUUGAGUCAUUAAUUCAUUCUUGAGACAGGGUCUCGCUUUGUCACACAGGCUGGAGUGCAGUGGCAGUAACAGCUCACUGCAGCCUCGGCCUCCCAGGCUCAAGCGAUCCUCCUGCCUCAUCCCCUCCCCAAACCCCAGUAGCUGGGACCACAAAUCAUGCUACUUUGUCCUUUAUCUUUUAACUCUGUUUAUGAUAUUUUUUGGCCAUACAAAGUUGUUUAAUUUUUACAUUAUCAUUUAUCCAUCUUUUAUGUUAUAGUUCAGGUUUUGUUAUGCAUAGAAAACCCUUUCAAAUUCAGUGAUUAGUGGCCGGGCACAGUGGCUCACGCCUGUAAUCCCAGCACUUUGGGAGGCCGAGGCGGGCAAAUCACGAGGUCAGGAGUUUGAGACCAGCCUGGCCAACAUAGUGAAACCCUGUCUCUACUGAAAAUACAAAAAAUUAGCUGGGCGUGGUGGCGGGUGCCUGUAAUCCCAACUACUCGGGAGGCUGAGGCAGGAGAAUUGCUUGAACCCGGGAGGCGGAGGUUGCAUUGAGCCGAGAUUGCGCCACCUCAUUCCAGCCCGGGUGACAGAGUGAGAUUCCGUCUCCAAAAAAAAAAAAAAAAUUCAGUAAUUUUUGUUUUCUCAGUUCUCCCAAUUUCCCCUACGCUUUUGUUAUUAUUAUUAUUAUUGAGACAGAGUCUUUCACUCUGUUGCCCAGGCUGGAGUGCAGUGGUGCGAUCUUGACUCACUGCAACCUCUGCCUCCCAGGUUCAAGUGAUUCUCCUGCCUCAGCCUCCCGAGUAUCUGGGAUUACAGGCACAUGC